AACGAACGUUAGCGGCGCGCUUAACACAUGCAAGUCGAACGAGAAAGGGCUUCGGCCCCGGUACAGUGGCGCACGGGUGAGUAACACGUGGAUAAUCUUCCCUCGGGGCGGGGGAUAACAUUCCGAAAGGAGUGCUAAUACCGCAUAAGACCACGUCCUCGAAAGGGGAUGAGGUAAAAGCCGGCCUCUAUAUAUAAGCUGGCACCUAAGGAUGAGUCCGCGGCCCAUCAGCUAGUUGGUAGGGAAUGGCCUACCAAGGCUAAGACGGGUAGCUGGUCUGAGAGGAUGAUCAGCCACACUGGAACUGAGACACGGUCCAGACUCCUACGGGAGGCAGCAGGUGGGGAAUCUUGCGCAAUGGGCGAAAGCCUGACGCAGCGA
rnacentral:rRNA from 1 species